CGGCCUACAAAAUACCAUCAGAGUUCACAGUAUUUAUUUAUUUAUUAUUUGAUUGCAUUUUGUCAAGAGAAUAUAUAUUUAUCUGCUGGACUGCAGUAGAGUUGAAGUGUUUUGAGAAUCAACACAACAUGUAUUACCUGGGACAAUGAAACACAUACGGAUACUGUGUAAUACAUGCAUCUGUUUGCCCAGGCAUUGACUUCAGAUCCUGCAGUGACUCAGACCGCUCCAAAAACCAGUCAAGCCGCAGCUGAUCCUGAAGAUGGUGUUUCCUAUGCCUCCAUCAGCUUCACCAAGAAGACCAACAGUAAAGCCCGGGUAAGAUGUCAUAGUAGUGUUGGUAGUGAAUGAAGAAAAAAAUAUAUAAAUGUUACUUUUAAAUCCCUUAUAAUCUUGUGAUUGGGGUGAUAUGUUUGCCUUGUUGUGUUACACUGAGUUGCCGUGCAUUGCACUGGUUUUUUUUAAACCAAGGUAAUUUUAUUUAUCAUUAUACAACAUAAGGUUGUACAAUGAAACUAAAGCUCAUAGUCCCUUCAUGCUACACAUGUAGAACAUAACACAUAAUUGAAUUUAUCUCAGAAUUGGUUAAGAUGUAAAAUAAAUCAAAUAAAACUACAUAUACAGUUAUUUAUAUACAUAUACACAUGUACAUAUACACCCAUAACUAUGCAGAAUAAUAAUUCUGCAGUGCAUUUUUUGAAUUUGUUUCAGGGGAAAUUUGAAACAGCAGUAACAAUAUAGUGCUGAUAAUGUUGUAUCAUCUUCCAGUCCAUCCACUUUGACUGCGUUUGGACACCGAGCAUUAUCGAUGUAAACACAGAGUCCGCGUCCUCCUCUCUUGUCCUGAGCUCUGCACAUGUUGUACUGUGUCACUUAUGUCCUAUAGGUUCUGGGUGGUGAUGAGGCAGUGACCUACAGCACUGUGAGGGCGCCCUCCUCGUCUGCUGGAGCCUCCGCUGACCCCAACAGCCUCUAUGCUACCAUCAACUAACCUAGACAUAGAGUUAUUAUUUUACAUGAAUUCUUCAUCGUAAAAUCUUGUCAAUGUUUAUUGAAAAAGUGACCAUGGAUUGACUGUGUUGAUUCUUGUGGAGAAAUUGUCGAUGAAAUCCAAAUGUUAGACAGUAUUUUAUGUUUAAUCCUCAUUUUGUGUAAUUCAUUGCUAUUUUCUUGUAUUAUAAUGUUGAAAUUUUGUUUUUAGCACAACCAGGUGUUCCCCUUUCUUUCCCUUGUUGCUG
rnacentral:lncRNA from 1 species